rnacentral:rRNA from 1 species
UCUGCCUACGGGGCGCAGCAGUCGGGAAUAUUGCGCAAUGGAGGAAACUCUGACGCAGUGGCGCCGCGUAUAGGAAGAAGGUUUUCGGAUUGUAAACUAUUGUCGUUAGGGAAGAUAAAAGACUGUACCUAAGGAGGAAGCCCCGGCUAACUAUGUGCCAGCAGCCGCGGUAAUACGGAGGAUUCAAGCGUUAUCCGGAUUUAUUGGGUUUAAAGGGUGCGUAGGCGGUCGGAUAAGUUAGAGGUGAAAUCCCGAGG